AACGAACGCUGGCGGCAUGCCUAACACAUGCAAGUCGAACGAGACCUUCGGGUCUAGUGGCGCACGGGUGCGUAACGCGUGGGAAUCUGCCCUUUGCUUCGGAAUAACAGUUAGAAAUGACUGCUAAUACCGGAUGAUGUCUUCGGACCAAAGAUUUAUCGGCAAAGGAUGAGCCCGCGUAGGAUUAGGUAGUUGGUGGGGUAAAGGCCUACCAAGCCGACGAUCCUUAGCUGGUCUGAGAGGAUGAUCAGCCACACUGGGACUGAGACACGGCCCAGACUCCUACGGGAGGCAGCAGUGGGGAAGUAUU
rnacentral:rRNA from 1 species